rnacentral:rRNA from 1 species
AACGAACGCUGGCGGCAGGCCUAACACAUGCAAGUCGAACGAACCUUCGGGUUAGUGGCGCACGGGUGCGUAACACGUGGGAAUAUACAUUUCGGUAAGGAAUAACACAGAGAAAUUUGUGCUAAUACCUUAUAAUGACUCCGGUCCAAAGAUUUAUCGCCGAAGGAUUAGCCCGCGCUAGAUUAGUUUGUUGGUGAGGUAAGAGCUCACCAAGACUACGAUCUAUAGCUGGUCUUAGAGGAUGAUCAGCCACACUGGAACUGAGACACGGUCCAGACUCCUACGGGAGGCAGCAGUGAGGAAUAUUGGACAAUGGGGGCAACCCUGAUCCAGCCAUGCCGCGUGAAUGAAGAAGGCCUUAGGGUUGUAAAAUUCUUUCAGAUGCGAAGAUAAUGACGGUACCAUCAGAAGAAGCUCCGGCUAAAUUCGUGCCAGCAGCCGCGGU